UCAAGAAUCUUCCACAAUGGCCGAAAGGCUGAUGGAGCGACGCCGCGUGCAGGAAGAAGCCCUUCGGGGUGUAAACUGCUUUUCUCAGGGACGAAUUCGUGACGGUACCUGAGGAAUAAGAGGUUGCUAACUCUGUGCCAGCAGCAGCGGUAAUACAGAGACCUCAAACGUUAUCCGGAUUUACUGGGCGUAAAGCGUCUGUAGGUGGAUUAAUAAGUUAGUGGUUAAAUCCUGGGGCUUAACUUCAGGACUGCCGUUAAUACUGUUAAUCUCGAGGUUGGGAGAGGUAAGCGGAACUGCCGGUGUAGUCGUAAUAAGCGCUGAUAUCGGCAGGAACACCAAAGGCAAAGGCAGCUUACUAUAACACACCUGACACUCAAAGACUAAAGCGUGGGGAGCG
rnacentral:rRNA from 1 species